AUAUUGGACAAUGGGGGGAACCCUGAUCCAGCCAUGCCGCGUGUGUGAAGAAGGCCUUUUGGUUGUAAAGCACUUUAAGCGAGGAGGAGGCUCUUCUAGUUAAUACCUAGGAUGAGUGGACGUUACUCGCAGAAUAAGCACCGGCUAACUCUGUGCCAGCAGCCGCGGUAAUACAGAGGGUGCGAGCGUUAAUCGGAUUUACUGGGCGUAAAGCGUACGUAGGCGGCUUUUUAAGUCGGAUGUGAAAUCCCUGAGCUUAACUUGGGAAUUGCAUUCGAUACUGGUUGGCUAGAGUGUGGGAGAGGAUGGUAGAAUUCCAGGUGUAGCGGUGAAAUGCGUAGAGAUCUGGAGGAAUACCGAUGGCGAAGGCGGCCAUCUGGCCUAACACUGACGCUGAGGUGCGAAAGCAUGGGGAGCAAAC
rnacentral:rRNA from 1 species